rnacentral:rRNA from 1 species
CCUACGGGGGGCAGCAGUGGGGAAUAUUGGACAAUGGGGGCAACCCUGAUCCAGCCAUGCCGCGUGUGUGAAGAAGGCCCUCGGGUUGUAAAGCACUUUCAGUGAGGAAGAACGCCUGGUGGUUAAUACCCAUCAGGAAAGACAUCACUCACAGAAGAAGCACCGGCUAACUCCGUGCCAGCAGCCGCGGUAAUACGGAGGGUGCGAGCGUUAAUCGGAAUUACUGGGCGUAAAGCGCGCGUAGGUGGCUUGAUGAGCCGGUUGUGAAAGCCCCGGGCUCAACCUGGGAACGGCAUCCGGAACUGUCAAGCUAGAGUGCAGGAGAGGAAGGUAGAAUUCCCGGUGUAGCGGUGAAAUGCGUAGAGAUCGGGAGGAAUACCAGUGGCGAAGGCGGCCUUCUGGACUGACACUGACACUGAGGUGCGAAAGCGUGGGUAGCAAACAGGAUUAGAUACCCCGGUAGUC